CGGCUGCGGUCCAGCCAUUGGCGGCUCUGCGGGGGCCGGGGGAACCUUCGCGGCUUGGCGAGCCAGAGCCGGGCUCAUAUCAUCUGUGAAUUGUCUGCUCUGUGCCUGUCUCUACCAUAUAUACGACUUCAGGCUCCAUGAGGGCAGAACCUGCCAUGUCUUAUCUCCACUACAUCUUCAUGCCUAGCACAGUGCCUGGAAGACUGCAGUUUAGCAACUCUGUGAAAUGGCUAUGGGAAAAUAAAUUAUCCUCAUGUUCCAACUAAGAAAGCAGACUUAGAGAAAUAAGGUAAGUACCUAAGUGCAUGUGUGCACAUGUGUGAGAAUGUAGGCCAGUGUGAGGUGUGUGAACAUGUGACUGUAUAAUGUGACUAUAUGCAGUGUGUGACUGUAUAAUGCACGUGUGUGUGAAUAUGCAUGUGUCAGACUAUAGAGCAUGUGUGUGAAUGAGUGUGUGACUAUGUAAAGCACACGUGUGAGUGUAUCAACACUGUAUGACUGUGAAAAGUGUGUUGUGGGUAUGUAUGAACAUGUAUGUGUGGUUGUGUAAGGAACAUGUGUAUGAAUGUGUGUGAACAUGUAUGUGUGAGACCAUGUGAAAUAAAGCAUGUGCAGAUGUGCCCCUGAGGCUUGGGAGGCCUGGUCUGGAAGAAACCAAUCAUAGAGGUGGAGGAGGCCCUGAGGAGACAAAAAGCCGUGGGAGCAGGAGCAAGGGGAGGAGAGGAGGCUGGGGUGCAGCUGGGCCUGGAGCUUGGAGAGAAGGCCUAAGGUGCUGGUCGCUGGAAGAGCACCACCAUGCCUGGGUCUGAAGUCCUCAGGGCCAGUACCCACCAGGGCCAGAGCCCAGGAGUGGCAUUGCUACUCCCGGAGGAGGCUUUUCCUGGCCCCACCCACAUCAGAGAGAAGGGGCUGGUCCGGUGAGCCCCAGCAGGAGCAGUCAUUAACCAUGGAAGCUGACUUGGUGCAGCUGGAGGUGGAGUUGGAAGUGUCUGCAUCUCACUGGCAAGCUGCUUCCCUCCUCGCUGCAUGCUCCAUUCCUGAGCAAACGCUAGAGCUACAGAGACACAGCCCCCAGCCUCUCCCACCUCAGAAAGCUGGGAGGGCCCAGGCCUAGGGAAGGGAUGGUGGAGUGGGCAGGCAUCCAGGGAAGGUAUGGGGAUUGGAGGGGACAUGGAGAAUAUUUUAAGAGUGGAUUUGGUGUGGUCUUGUGCAAACUGCUGUGCUGGGAAGGCAAGUGUCUACGCUGCUGGCAGUUUCCUCUUCAUCCUGCUGGAGCACCUGGCACCCUCCAUACCUCACGAUGGCCAGAUGUUCCACUGUCUCCAUGGAAUGCAGACGUUAAUGUGGCAGUUCAGCGUCUGUCCUGAGCAUUGAUGUCCUUGCCAGGCUGCUGAACCUCUGUGUGUGAGUGCACAUGAGUGUGUGUGUGUGUGUGUGUGUACUGUGUGAACAAGUGUAAGGGAUCCUGGAAAGGGGCCUAUCUUGCCCUUGGAGCUGAGGGUAGCACCACUUCUUUUUUUUUUUUUUUUUUUUUUCUUUGAG